AGCAGCAAAAAUAAAUAAAUUAAAAUAUUUUUAAUUUAUUUACAUACCAGAUCUGAUCUGAAAAUCAUAAUAAGAAUCUUGAUACGAAUAUAUAACCCAGAUCUAAAAUUUGAAAUAAAAAAUAAAUAAUUAAAAAAAUCAAACGGAGAUCAAAUCUCUAAACCUCGGAUCCUGCGGAUAUCCUAGAUUCUGAUCGUAGCCGUGCAUGCACCUGACCUC
rnacentral:lncRNA from 1 species